AACGAACGCUGGCGGCAUGCCUAACACAUGCAAGUCGAACGAGACCUUCGGGUCUAGUGGCGCACGGGUGCGUAACGCGUGGGAAUCUGCCCUUGGGUUCGGAAUAACAGUUAGAAAUGACUGCUAAUACCGGAUAAUGUCUUCGGACCAAAGAUUUAUCGCCCAGGGAUGAGCCCGCGUAGGAUUAGCUAGUUGGUGAGGUAAAGGCUCACCAAGGCGACGAUCCUUAGCUGGUCUGAGAGGAUGAUCAGCCACACUGGGACUGAGACACGGCCCAGACUCCUACGGGAGGCAGCAGUGGGGAAUAUUGGACAAUGGGCGAAAGCCUGAUCCAGCAAUGCCGCGUGAGUGAUGAAGGCCUUAGGGUUGUAAAGCUCUUUUACCCGGGAUGAUAAUGACAGUACCGGGAGAAUAAGCCCCGGCUAACCGUCCGUGCCAGCAGCCGCGGUAAU
rnacentral:rRNA from 1 species